GUACACGCUGUGACUAGCAUAUCAAUAAGCGGAGGAAAAGAAACUAACAAGGAUUCCCCUAGUAACGGCGAGUGAAGCGGGAAGAGCUCAAAUUUGAAAUCUUAAAGGGUUUCCCUUUACGAAUUGUAGUUUAAAGAAGUGCUUUUCCUGUUGAGGUUUUGGUAAAAGUUCUUUGGAAUAGGACAUCAUAGAGGGUGAGAAUCCCGUAUUUGACCUUUACUUUCAACUUUGUGAUACACUUUCAAAGAGUCGGAUUGUUUGGGAAUGCAGUCCAAAAUGGGUGGUAAAUUUCAUCUAAAGCUAAAUAUUGGCGAGAGACCGAUAGCGAACAAGUACCGUGAGGGAAAGAUGAAAAGAACUUUGAAAAGAGAGUUAAACAGUACGUGAAAUUGUCAAAAGGGAAGCGUUUGACACCAGUGUUGUUUUUCUGAAAAUCAAUUAAAGAACUGUUUAUGCUAAGUUGUUUAGACUUUAUCAGCUAACUGUUUAGUUUUGAGCUUUUCUUUAAUGCACUUUUCAGUUAACAAGUCAACAUCAAUUUCUUUUGCUGUAAAAAAGCUUGAGGAAGGUGGCUUGAGAUUCGUCUUAAGUGUUUAUAGCCUCUUGCCUAUGCAGUCGGAGAGAUUGAGGUCUGCAGCGUAGAUCCUUCGGGGCUAAAUGCAUUUGUGCUAAGUUAUAGCAUUUUAUAGACAACUUGUUGACUAUGAUUUGUCUUGUAGCUUACUCGCUUAUGUUAUUUUACCUACGCUUAGGAUGUUGAGUCGUAGAGCACGCAG
rnacentral:rRNA from 1 species